CAAAGGCCUCUGAAGUGGUGAUAGUUUAAAUAACAACUAAUUCAUAUUAAAAAUCCAGAUUUGGAGAAAGGGAGGGGAAGAAAUUUUAGAGGAAAGUGAUGGGAUGGGGUAUAGAAGAGGUGGAGGAGCUAAUAUUCUGAAAAAUUAUUAUGAACCCAGUAACAUUCUAAGAACUUUACAUCUAUUAUAAUCUUUAAUCCUAACACAAUCCUGUGAAGGAGGAACUAUUGUUAACUCCACCUAACAGAGGCAUGAGAUAAGGCACAGAAAGGUUUGGUAAUGUGCCCUUGUCACACAGCUAGUUCAGUGACAAAGGUGGAAUCCAAGCCCAGGUUGUCUCAGACCCUGAGGAAGGAAAAAUUUUGGAUUAUUCUGGCAACUUAAAGACCAGUGUGACUGAAGUAGAAGGUGAAAAGGGGAGACGGAGUUGGCAAAGCCAGCAGGGACUAGAUCAUGCGUGGCCAAGGAGCAAGAGCCAUGUGGGAACCAUAAGAAGAGCCUGACUUGGCAUAGAGUCGACACCAAGAAAAACACAGUAGACAUGAAGAGCUGGGUCCUAGAUGACCACUGGACCGAAGGACUCCGCCUCAUCAGAAAACUGUACUUUUCAGGGACGUGAGUUGAUUAAAGAAAAGUCUGGCCAUAGCCUGCCACAGGACAGCCACAUGUGACGCACAGAAAGCCCUUGUCGUACCCCGGACCAGCCGGAGUGAUGCAGGCUAACAACAUACCUGAUCCCUUUGGGUCUCCAUGGCAACAAGGCUGCCUGUAGGACCAGAAGAUAAUGAUCUGUCAUGUGGAAGAGGCUUGCCCUAUGACACGAGGGAGUUUUCAAAGGUAAUACGUCAACAACAACGCCUCAGCAACUGUUGUUUGUUAUUGCAGUAGACUAGGAUACAAAAAGGGCAAGGCUGCCAAAAGAUCUUGCUUCUGGAACACAAAAUUCCUGCCUUGGAAGAAGGAACAAAGUAAAUAUAAAUGUCCUCUUUCUUGGGGGAAAGAAGUAGACAUAGCAUCUGCUGGGUUAGAGAUUAAAGCCUCUAUUCUUCUAUAAAUUGUUUGUUGGAUACAGAAAACUUGCCUUCUGAACAUCUCAGCACCUUGUCGAGAGCACUUCAAAUCUCUGCCAUUGAGAUGUGUCAGUUGUCAGUAAGAGAAAUCAGGGAAGUAAUCAGGAGAAAACUAAAUAAGAAUGGACAGGAGUCCUUGUCCCUAAGGCAAGGUGGGUCCCUGCCCAUCUGGCCACAACAGCUUUUUCUUUUGGCCCCUUUGGCUACAACCCAUUUGGGAUUUUGUAGACGGAUUUGCCUCGAUGUCUAUCUUCCCUAUAGUUCCUGAAGGCAGGAUUACGGUCUCUUUUUUAUCUUUGCAUCUGUAAUGCCUGGCAUAGAACAAAAGUUCAACCCAUAUUUACCAGUUGCUGGUGGUGAUGGGGUAGUCAUGUAGAAAGCAGGAGAAAUAGAAAUAUGGAUAAAUGAUGGGACAUUCUAGUUCUAGACCUUUGACAGUCAUGGAGGUCUCUGGGACUAGCCAGCUAGCCAAGAUUGGGUCCUCUCCAAGAGAGACAGGAGAGCCCACUGGCUUAGAACAUGGGCUCUGGAGCCAGACAACCCAGAUUGGAAUCCUAACUCUACUCCAAACUGCUUAAGCUUUGGCAAGUUAUUUACCUUCCCAGGGCCUCUGUGAGGGUGAAAUGAGAUCAUUAGAACAAUGCCUGGUACCCCAGGGAUGCUAUUUAAGGUCUAAGCACUCCGUUUCCAGAAUUGCUGCUCAAUUUAGGAAGAGAAAGGUGCAGAUGAUGAGAGUCUUUUUCUUAAGAUUUUGAGUUUCACAUUUGACCUUGCAGUCUGAUCCCCUGCAAGGGCCUGCCUGGAUUGAGAUGGAUCUGGCAUCUAAGCUCCUCCCUUACAGCUGUCACGUAGACCAGUGCCAAGCCCUAGGAGUGCAUCUAACUUCCUCACUUAUCUCCCACAUAUGUACAGGUAAGUCACUUCAAAAAAAAAAAA